UGACAGUUUAUUUAUUUAUUUUUGCAUUUAUAUUUAUACUAAAUGUUUGGGCUACUGUUUUUGAUAACGCAUACAUAAUAGGUUUGUAGAAAAUCAACAACAACAAAAAAAAAAUCUAUAAAUAUUUUCAUAAUUUUUCAGGAAUUGUUGAUUUCUUUUUCAACACUUGUAAGUCUGAACCAGAAUAUCAAGAUAUUUUAUUAUUUUGUAAAAAAGCACCACCAUUUUAUAUGUAUAAUAAAAUUUGAGUAUGACAAACACAAAUCCCUUCUAUUAUUUUAUCCCUUGAGGUAGCCCUCGCACACAAAAAGGUUGGUUGGAGGAUGGAGACCCCUGGUAUAUAACUAUGUUUUAUAAUUAUAUGUUUGUGUAAUUUGGGGUUUCUUCCUGCAGUGACACUUUUGUGUGUGAGGCCCCAUCCAUCCUCCCCUCAAUACGCUGCAGUCGUCCUGUCCCUUUUGCAGAAAAGCAUCCAUAAAGAAUGAUGUUUCCACCUCCAUGCUUCACAGUUAGGAUGGUGUUCUUGAGGUUGCACUCAUCCUUAGUCUUCCUCCAAACACAACAAGUAGAGUUUAGACCAAAAAGCUCUAUUUUCAUCUCAUCAGACCACAUGACCUUCUCCCAUGAAUGAGUAUGUGGACAAGUGUCUUUUAUACAGGUAACAGUUCAAACCGGUGCAGUUAAUAAAAAGUGGAGAAAAGGAGGGCUUCCUGUGAGAGCUGGAAUUCUUACUGGUUGAUAGGUGAUCAAAUGCUUAUGUCAUAAACAAUAAACUGCAAAAAUAUAUUUUUUUAAAAUAUACAAUGUGAUUUUCUGGAUUGUUAUUUAAGAUUCUGUCAUUAGAGUAGAAGAGUAUACCUAAGAUAAAAAUGACAGGCUCUUACGUGGUUUGUAAGUGGGAACCUGCACAAUCCCCAGUGUAUCAAAUGCUUUUCCUCCUCACUGUAGAUAAAUGAGGGGAACACUUAUUUUGAAAGUGCCAUGUUGACACUGUUUUGGAGUUGCAACACUGAGUUCAAAUGACUGCAAACAAUCCCAUAUGAUACUUCAUCUGGUGCCCACUCUAAAGCAAAACUAUAUUCUUUCCAGUUAUUAAUUUAAAAUAACUUUCAUAUUAUCUGUAAUCGAAUGUGUUCCAUCCUACAGUUCCUCCUUUAAAACCCUUGCCUCACACUUGAAUUGCCAGGCAGGAGUUUAUUUUACUAACGUGAUUGUUUCUUUAAUCAACAUGACAAAAUAUUUUGUCUUUUUUAUUUAUAAUACAGAGCUUAACUGUAGAGACCUACAUUUCGGUUGGAUAAAGGAGGGUACAUAAAUUAACCAAUAUCAAAAGCGUAUGUUGGUUGAUUGUUGUGGGUUUUUCCAUCUUCACACACACACACACUCGAGACCGGUGUAUGUCCUGGUUAAGACUAUCCGGGUCCCCACAUGGUCAACCCCUCCCCCACACCUAUACCCGCGCGCGCGUCUGGAGCUAAUGAUUGCAUCUCGUGACGUGACUCACUGGAGGAGCAGGAGCUGCAAACGCAGCAGCAAUCAGCGUGUUCGUUCUCCAAGGUUUUCACUCAUGGAGAGAAGAACUUGGACCAAUCCAGGAUGCGGAGUACCAUAUCCAAGCGGGGAUUGAUAAACCAUGUCUCCAGCGUUUUAUCAAUAAUUUUAAAGCAUUGAUGCAUGUGAAAAGGACUCCUCUCUUGGGAGACUUGUUGAUGACAACCACAGAAGACCUAUUUUUGCAAAAUGAAAACCAUAAGUAAAGAAACCACACUUGUCUCUUCGCGAUUCGAGAUAUUACACCUGGAGAAGAACUGACUUACAACAACGUGACUCAAACUGGCCAUGGAGAGCACAGCCCCCAAAACACACUUCACUGGCACGGACACCCUGUUCAACAUGCCCGUCUCAGAUGAUAAUUUGCAGAGUGAGCGCUCGAAGUUGCAGGCCAGGAUUGACAAAUUAAAAACACCACAAUCGGUGUGAAACUCUGUAUGAAUCUACGGCUGAGAAGCGAAAUGCUCUUCAAAGACAGCGAACCUUACUCCUACUGCAAUUGGCAAACUUGGAUAAAAUGCUGGGCCCAGAAUCACAUCCAGUCACUUAAACAGCAGAAGAUUCUGUGAUACCCUCACCAACAGACACACAGGUAUGGUCAGAAAUUGACCAUGCAUCUCCAACCAGCGAAUGUGUACCACCACUGGAAAGAACGGAGUGUAUUUGUUGCCUUCCUUCACAACAUGGACACAGAUUCCAGCUCUGCAGAAGAUGGGAAUGUGUCCCACUCCAAUCCCAAGGUAAGAAAGUAUAGAUGAUGGCCACAGUUCAUAAAAGUUUGGAGAGUUCAUUAAUUUUAUCUUGACUGAUUUUUGUAACAGUUUAAAAGGCAACUCUUUCAAUGUUUGUUUGAUACUUGAGACCCAUUCAUACUUCAUAACUUGCAUUCAUUUUUGCAAUUAUAUAUUAAACUAGAUUAUUAAUCUGUUCUGGUCCAUGUCUAAAUUCUAAUACAAUCACAUCGCAAUUCAAAUAAAUUGGAUCAUUACUUUAGAGAAGUGACUACUAAUUAUAAAUGUAGAGAACAGAAAAUCAUUGCAUGUACAUAACAAAAAUGAUCACUUUUAAAAAAAA